GACACUAUAUUUUCUAGCCACUGUACUUCUGUUACACUUAUUGUUGCCAAUCUAAGUACUAUGUUGUCUAGAAACUCUAGAUGUUGCCUCCAAAAUGUGACAUAAUGAAUUUAGAUGUUUUAUUUUUUUCGACAGAUAUUUUUCACACAAUUUAUAAUAGCAUUCAGCUUAUAUUUUUAUUUUAUUUUUUAGAUAUUUUGUUUCAAUUAGAGUUGGCAACACUGAAACUUUUACUGUCACGCGUGUCCUAUCUGAGUCGAGUUCGAAAUGCUAGUUGUCAUUUGCCAUUAUUUUGUGCUUUACAUUAUAUUAAUUUAAUCUGCAAAAUGCCAGAAAGAAACUGUGUUUACUGGUGGAUUAAAAAAACGGUUAAUGUGUACCUAGGUAACCAAUGGCAGCGUUUCGUGGGCCUGACGGACUCCUCCCGGAGGGGAGCCGCCGGCAGGCCGCCUUGUGCUAAACGUCACUAGUUAUUGAUUAAAAUAAAAAAAAAAAAAGGAAACGUCUACUAAAAUAUAUACAGUAGUUAAUCUAACCGAAGCGCCGCCAUAUUGGACUACCUAGGUACACAUUAACCGGCAAGCCUAGUAGCAGCGGAAGGAACUUCCUCAAAUGUAUUGUCUUAUUUUAAAGGCUUCUGAAAUAGGAUCUUUAGAUAUUCGUUUUCUUUCCGAACGUUUUAUUGCAGGGAUUUUUCUACAAAGUAUAAAAAGAAAAUUGAUCAAUAAUUAUAUUAAAGCAAGGAUACACUUAAUAAUUACUACAGUCAACUUCCUCAUAUUCCAGUACCAGAACAUGAAGCUUUCAAGAGGAAGAAAGUGAAGAAGCAGAGGAUAGUAGUAGCAGUGAAGCUGAAGAAUCAACUUCUAGUGAUAAUGAAGAAGAAGAGAAUGUUUUUGAUAUAUAUAAUGUCACUGUUUAUAAAAGCAGUGACACGUUUAACAAAUGACAAGGAAAGCAGAAAUAACUUGCCACAACUAAGCGAUCAAUGGCCGACACCCAUUGGUUAAUAUCCAAAUUGAUUCUUUCCAUAGAUUGUAGCAAGGUUCCUAAACCGAUUGCAGGAAUUUUAUAACCGUUAGAGAGCUGCACUCGAAGAACUCGACCUGCCAUGAUGUUAUCCACACUUGCGAGUGAGUACAUUGCGUUGACCUCGAACAAAGUUUAUUUUAUUUUACGAAAACUGAUAAUAAAUAAGACGGAAAAUUCUUAACGUCAUUAAUAAUUGUGAAUAUGGGUCAUUAUGAUGUAGCAGUUAACAGCCGUCUAUUAUUAUGUUACAGUUCAAGGGAUGGAAAAAAGU